CCUUUGUAAAUAACCAUCAGUUAUUUAAUUAGUUUCCAGGAUUUAUAUAUUAUUCUUAUAUUAUUUAAUUAUAUCCUUUCUUAAUAUUAGUCAACUGUUUGUUAUAUGUUGUAAUGUUAUUUUACACUUUAUAAGUUAUUUAACCGAUAGAGACUUUUAUUUUGAAAGGCGGCUUGACGGAAGUGCUCAGAGCCCGCUCAUGCACAGAGAGCGCGGAAUACGGAGAAAGAGAGCGCGCAAAGACGGAGACUGCACACGGCGUUAGGAAUUAAGGACACUUUUAUGUGAAUUUAUGCAUCAGAUUGUUGUUUUAUUUUCAGUAUUUUGUUUGCUUUGAGUUUGUUGCUUGACACCUGGUUGGAAAGGAGAACAAGCUCUUACGGUGUUGUGAAGUCUAUAAGGACAAUAAACACAAAAGGAAAGACCGUACAACAUCAGUGAAUGAGUUAAAUCCUUUAUUCUUCAACCGGGCUGUUAGAGUAAGAGCUUGCCCUAUUGAUUCCAUUUGCUGAUGUAAAUGAUGACAGACGAGGGAUCAAAUUUGUGCACUCCUGUGAAGGAAAUUGAAGUAUUAAAGGCUGCAAAAAACAAGGAAACAGAUGAUGAGAUAGAAGAUCGAUCUGAAGUUGAAAAGAGAAAUGAAGUACGUCGCUCUGUCCGUGAACGAGUUCCAACAGAAAAGAUGCUUGCAUAUCAAAGAGAAGAGUCAGAAAAGGCAGAAAAAAGGCUUAUGCAUGCAUAUGAAAAAUGGAAGGAUGAGGCUCGAAAGGCAAGAGGGCUGCUGAAAACAGACAUCACUGAAAGCCAAUUAGCGUCAAUUAUAGACAUAUUGGAAAAUGAAAGAGAAACUGUAAUGAAUGCAUACAUAAAGGUUCGAAGUUAUGCAACGCCACCCACUGAUACAAGGAGAAGAAUUGAUGCUUGCGAUGCCGUGACAAAGGAUAUUGUUAAGAUUGCUUAUGAGAGGAUCUCAGGUGUGGAUGGAGACUUUGACAGUGAGCAAGUAAAGGGGCGUCUUCGUGAACUGCUUGAUCGAGAUUAUGCUCGCUCCAUCUAUGGUUCUACGGUCUCACAUAUCAGCUCAAAGUCGAGUACGCCCAUAAGUCAACCUUCAGUGAACUCCAUCCUGAUGGCUAAGCGAAUAGAGGCAGCAGCAGAGCUUGCAGCAAAGGAAGCAGAAUAUGCAACAAUAAUGGAGGAAAAGGAACAAAGGGAAAAAAUACAACUUCUAGAAGAGAAGCAAAGGAAAGAAUUGGAUGCUCAAAGGAGUGAGUUUGAAAGAUUACAAGCAGUAAAAGAGGUAAGAGCUGCUAAAGCAAGACUAGAAGUGUAUGACAAGGAAGAAACCACUCACUCUGCUAACCAAAAUGACGAGCUGCUACAGCCUGUAAGCAUUUACACACACAAACCUGUGUAUUAAUCCUCAGUUAAGCCAACACUCAAUGAAAGGGUUUCAUCGCCAACACCCAAUGUGGAUGUGUCUUACCUUGCACAAGCUGUCCAAGACAGUAUAACGUUAAACAGACUUCCUAUGCCAGAGCCCACUGUUUUUACUGGUGACCCAAUUCACUUCAUAGAGUGGAAAGCUUCAUUCCAAUCACUCAUCGACAAAAGACAUAUUUCCUCAGCAGAUAAGUUAUACUAUUUGAAGAAGUAUAUUGCUGGGUCUGCUCUGAAAACCUUAGAAGGCAUCUUUUACAGAAACGAUGAGGAAGCUUACAAGGAUGCAUGGAAAAGACUUCAAGAUCGAUAUGGACAGCCAUUCACUAUUCAAAGAGCAUUUCGAGAGAGACUCGCAAACUGGCCCAGAAUCCAGCCAAAGGACUCUGAAGGUCUCCGAAAUUUCUCAGAUUUCCUGACCACAUGUAAGGACGCUAUGCCUCAUGUGAAGGGACUGGAAAUACUGAAUGACUGUGAGGAGAAUAGGAAACUUGUGAGCAAAAUUCAUGAUUGGGCGGCUGCCCGCUGGAACCGCCAAGCCACACAAACACUGAGUGAGACACAAGAUUUCCCAUCUUUCCAAGAUUUUGCACAUUUCAUGUCCAUUGAGGCUGAGGUGGCCUGCAACCCAGUCACUUCCUUUCAUGCCCUUCAUGUUUCUGAAUCUAAUAAGGAGAAACAUAAUCUCAAGGUUAGUAAGAACAAGGACAGUGUCUUCCAUACAAAGUUAGUCACGCAGCAUGAGAAUCCAAAGCUCACUAGUAAAAUCACUAAACCAUGUUUGUUCUGUCAAGGUAGUGAACAUCAAAUUCAUGAUUGCUCUAAAUUUACUGCAAGAUCUCUUGAAGAGCGAAGACAAUUCAUAAAAGACACAAAGCUGUGCUAUGGAUGUUUGAGACUUGGUCACAAUGCCAGAGACUGUCAUUCCAGACAUAGCUGUAACACCUGUAAGAGAAGACAUCCAACCUGCUUACAUGAUGACGGCUUCAUUAGAAAGUUAGUCUUCCUCUCUUCAAGGCCCAGAGAAUGCACACGAGAAAGUCACAACGUCUUUAAGUGUAGAAUCUGGAUGCACAUCUGCUAACACCUCAAUGAUUGUGCCAGUGUGGUUGUCCUCACAAAACAACCCAGUCUCUGAGAAACUUGUCUACGCUCUGUUAGACACAGAAAGUGACACUGUCUUCAUUGAAUAUGCAGUAAGUCAAAGUCUAAAGGUCGACUCAUGCCCAGUGACACUUAAGCUCACCACUAUGGUUGGGAAGGAUUCAUUGAUAUUAAGUGAAAGAGUUUCUGGUCUUAGAGUUAGAGGCUUUAAUUCACCAUUAGUACUAGACCUUCCCGCUGCAUAUACUAAAGAAUGUAUUCCUGCGGAUCGUGCCCACAUCCCUACCAGAGAGACAGCCAGGUGUUGGAAACAUCUUGCUCCUCUGAUAGACAAAAUUCCCCCACUUCAAGACUGUGAGGUUGGUCUAUUAAUAGGAUAUAAUUGUUCCAGAGCUUUGGCCCCCAGAGAAGUCAUUCUUGGAGCAGAAAAUGAGCCAUAUGCUGUUCGUACGGAUCUUGGAUGGAGCAUUGUGGGCCCUUCCUUGACACAUCAUGAGUCACAAAGCAGUCUUACUAUGUGUCACAGAGUAUCUAUCAAGGAGAUUCCUGCUGUAACGCCAACUGACGUGAUUAAAGUGUUGGAGUCAGAUUUCAAAGAUACUGAAGAAAAGACAAGAGUAGUGUCUCAAGAUGACAUUAUGUUCUUGAACAAACUUGGAGAAAGUUUCAGGAUGAACAAAGACAGCCACUUGGAAAUGCCUCUUCCAUUCAAGAGAAGACCCUGUCUUCCAAAUAAUGAGCCUCUUGCGGUCACGAGACUUCAGCAUCUAAAGCGGAGAUUAAUGAAGAACCAGGAGUACAGAGAGCAUUAUGUUAAGUUCAUGGAAGAUGUAAUAGAGAAUGGUGAUGCAGAAAGAGUCAUUGAUGAAGGGAAGGAAGGAGAAAAAUGGUACAUACCUCAUCACGGAGUGUAUCACUCGAAGAAGCCAGGGAAAUUGCGCGUGGUUUUCGACUGCUCCGCAAGAUUCAAGGGAACAUGCUUAAACGAUCAUCUUCUUGUAGGCCCUGACCUUAUGAACAGCCUGACUGGCAUUCUUUUGCGGUUCAGACAGUACCCUGUAGCCCUGAUGUGUGAUAUUGAGAGGAUGUUUCACCAGUUCCAUGUUGACAAAGCUGAUUGUGAUUACUUGCGUUUUCUAUGGUGGAGAAAUGGAGAUUUCAACUCACAGCCUCAAACGUUCCGCAUGAGAGUACAUCUGUUUGGUGCCUCAUCGUCCCCCGGAUGUGCUAAUUAUGGACUAAAGCAUCUUGCAAGAGAAGGUGAACAUCUGUAUCCCCUAGGUUCAGAAUUUAUUAUGCAGGAUCUCUACAUGGAUGAUGGAGUCUCCAGUGUGGAAAGUGCAGAGAAGGCCAUAAAGUUGGCUCAAGAAGCUCGCCAACUUUGUGCAUUAGGAGGCUUAAGGUUGCAUAAAUUUGCAUCCAAUGACAAGGCAGUUUUGGAGACAAUACCGCCCUCUGAGUGUGCUGUAGAUGUUACAUCUGUCAAUCUCUCCCUCACUGACCAGUCCUUGGAAAGAGCCCUGGGCAUUUACUGGCAUCUCGAACAUGAUCAUUUCAAAUUUCGUGUCAUUAUUAAAGACCAGCCAGCAACCCGUAGAGGUAUACUGUCUACUGUGGCCUCGUUAUUUGACCCCUUAGGGUUUCUCGCACCAUUCUUGCUCAAAGGAAAGGCUGUUCUUCAAGAAAUGUGCCGAAAUGGCAUGGGCUGGGACGAUCCCUUACCUGAUGAUUUGCAGUUGGGUUGGGAGCACUGGAAGACCGAUCUUCUUAACUUGGAGAAGAUUCAGGUGCCUCGUUGUAUUGUGCCUGCUGGGUUUGGGACAAUCAUGAUGAGAGAGAUUCAUCACUUCUCAGAUGCCAGCAUGAGAGGAUAUGGCCAGUGCUCAUACCUUAGGCUCAAGAAUGAGCAAGGUGACAUCCAUUGUUCUUUGCUCAUGGCUAAAUCUAGAGUAGCCCCGCUUAAGGUCACCACAAUCCCUCGAUUAGAGUUGACUGCUGCAGUUGUGUCAGUUGCAGUGAAUGAUAUGUUGAAGGAAGAAAUGAACCUUGGAGAUGCAGAAGCAUAUUUCUGGACUGAUUCUCAAGUAGUGUUAGGUUAUAUAAACAAUGAAGCUCGCCGCUUCCACACGUUUGUCGCGAAUCGAGUUCAGAGAAUUCAUCGCACCACAACUCCUCAGCAGUGGCGAUACAUUCCAUCGGAUGAAAAUCCAGCCGAUUAUGCAUCACGAGGUCUGAGUGUUAAUGAUCUGGUCACUUCCAGCUGGUUCAGAGGACCGGACAUUUUGUGGGAACAGCAAAUACCUUCCCCUGUGGAUGUUAACCCACAACUUCCAAUCGGUGACCCAGAGGUCAAAAAGGCUCAAUCACUUAACACACAAACAUUACAGUAUUCCUGCUUAUCCAACCGUUUCACAAAUAUGUCUUCAUGGUCCAAAGUCAUCCAAGCAGUUGCACGCCUACUUCGUCGUGUCAGGAAGGACAAGUCCAGUGACCACAGCACAGUGGCAGAACGUGAGGAUGCUAAGUGCAUCAUAAUUAAGGACUUACAGAGUCAGAUAUAUGCAGAAGAAAUAGCCUUACUCCGUAAGGGCAAACAGCUCCCACGCAGCAGCAGGCUAUACAAUCUAAAUGCCUUUGUUGAUCACAACGGAUUGCUCAAGGUGGGAGGAAGGCUUUGUGAUGCUUCUGCCCCUAACUCUGUUAAACAUCCAGUGUUAAUUCCAAAGGAACAUCAUCUUACAAAACUUCUGAUCACUGAUUGUCAUGAAAAAACGGCACAUCAAGGGAAGGGCUUGACUAUCAAUGAGAUCAGAUCAAGAGGAUUUUGGAUAACAGGAGUAAACAGGACUGUAGCAUCCUUUAUACGACAGUGUGUGAGAUGUCGCAAGCUUCGCAGACCCACUGAAGAGCAAAAAAUGGCUAACCUGUCCUCAGAGCGCAUAGAUCCAUCCCCUCCAUUCACAUACAGCGGAAUGGAUGUUUUUGGUCCGUUCAUCACUAGACAAGGCCGUAAAUCGUACAAGAGGUAUGGACUUCUUUUUACUUGUUUCUGUUGCAGAGCCAUCCAUAUUGAGAUGCUGGAUGACAUGUCCACGGACGCCUUUAUCAAUGGUCUACGUUGUUUCAUCGCUAUAAGAGGAGCAGUAAAUCAAAUAAGGUGUGACCAAGGCACUAAUUUCAUUGGAGCCAAGAAUGAGCUCACCAAGGCCAUGGAAGAGAUUGACACCAACCGUCUGGUAACAUUCUUAGCAGAAAAACAGUGUGACUUUGUCUUUAACGCACCCCAUGCAAGUCACUGGCGGAGUUUGGGAGAGACAGAUUAGAACUGUGAGAAGUGUUCUUCGUUCCACUCUGUCCCAGUCAUCUGGAAGACUAGAUGAUUCUUCUCUGCGAACAUUUUUCUAUGAAGCCAUGGCCAUUGUAAAUAGCCGUCCACUCACUGUAGAUAACUUAAGUGAUCCCUGCAGUCCUGAGCCUCUAACCCCUAAUCACCUCCUCACCCUGAAAACUACUCAAGCCUUACCACCCCCUGGGAAGUUUGUCAGAGAAGACCUAUAUGGUCGUAAGAGAUGGCGCCAUGUCCAAUACUUAGCGGAACAGUUUUGGGGAUGUGGCGCAAGGAGUAUGUGUCUAACAUUGCAACAAGACAAUGCUGGCUUUCACCAAGAAGGAACAUGCAAGCUGGAGAUAUAGUCUUGGAGAAAGCAGACGAUCUGCCCAGGAAUGAGUGGCGCUUGGCAGAAGUUAUUGAGACUGUCGUUGACAAAGAUGGUUUGGUGAGAAGAGUAAAGAUACGUUUUGGAGACAGAAAUCUGGGAAAGGAUGGUAAACGUCUGAACAAACCAUCAUUAGUUGAACGCCCAGUGCAGAAGCUGGUCCUGCUGCUGGAGGCACACUGAACAUCCUGACAUAUCCUUUGAUUUAAGCAGUUUAUAGUAGAACAAGUUUCAGUUUGCUUUACAUCUAGCCUUAAACAUUGGUAUUUUACUUUAGAAAUCAUUCGUGACUAAAGUUUAAAAUUUAUAGUCACACAUGAUUGGUGGGAGUGUAAAUAACCAUCAGUUAUUUAAUUAGUUUCCAGGAUUUAUAUAUUAUUCUUAUAUUAUUUAAUUAUAUUCUUUCUUAAUAUUAGUCAACUGUUUGUUAUAUGUUGUAAUGUUAUUUUACACUCUAUAAGUUAUUUAACCGAUAGAGACUUUUAUUUUGAAAGGCGGCUUGACGGAAGUGCUCAGAGCCCGCUCAUGCACAGAGAGCGCGGAAUACGGAGAAAGAGAGCGCGCAAAGACAAACUGCAGAGGUUGGAAAUGCUACUGGAGCCCUGCAGGUAUGUGACUGAACUUCUGGGUGGAGAAAAAUAUGUUUCAUGCUCUGUAGUUCUGCCUGCUUUUUGCCAUCUCUCUUGGGUGAUGGAGAGCUCAGAUGACGACCCUGCCUAUGUGGUCAAAUUCAAGUCUACAUUCAGAGCAGACCUGGAGACACGCAAGGAAAAUGCCAACAUUGCAUAUCUGAAGAUUGCAACCGCAUUGGACCCGAGAUUCAAGGACCUGAAGUGUAUACCCAGAGCUGAGAGAGGUGAGGUGUGGGCCUCAGUCACUAACUUACUCAAGGAACAGAGGGUUGUUGCAGAGGAACCUGUGGAAGCAACAACAUCAAAGCCAUCAAAGAGAAAGUUUGCCCUAUUGGCUGCUUCAUCAGAGUCUGAUUCUGAACACGAGGAAGACUCAAUUGAGAACGGUGUGCGUCGAUACAGAGCAGAGCCCACCAUCAGUACAGAAGCCUGUCCAUUACAGUGGUGGUCCAAACAUGCAGGCUCACACAGCAGGCUGGCCUCAAUUGCACAGAAGUACUUGGCCACACCUGCAACAUCCGUACCCUGUGAAAGGUUGUUUUCUCUUUCUGGUCAUAUUGUACAGAAGAAGAGAGUUUCUUUAUCAUCUGAAAAUGUGAAUGACCUUGUGUGUCUUAGCAACUGGCUAGGUGCAGAUGACUAAGUAAAUGUAGAGUUGGAAGAAUGGAUAAAUGCAGUUAAUUUUGUCCACUCAACCUGCAUCACUGAAAUAUAUAUAUUUUUUUGUUCUGAGAUUCUCAGUCUCUAAAAGGAGAUUGAUGUUCUUGCUCGGAAGUGGUCAGUUAAAAUGUUAUGAUCGAGGUUCUGGACAUAAUAUAUAUAUAUAUAUAUAUAUUUUUUUUUUGCAAACUAAACAAAACUUUAAUGUUUUAUUUAAUAAAAAAUUAAUGUUUUAAUGUUUUAUUUAUACGUUAAUGCUAUAUUUAAUUUGAUUAAAUUAAUGUUUAAGUUUACAAGAGAUUUACAAGAAAUGUUAACUGCUACUACUAACUUUUAACUGCUGUAAAAAAGCACUUUAUUUGUUUAAA